rnacentral:misc_RNA from 1 species
GAUGAAGAACGCAGUGAAAUGCGAAAAGUAGUGUGAAUUGCAGAAUUCAGUGAAUCAUCGAAUCUUUGAACGCACCUUGCGCCUUUUGGUAUUCCGAAAGGCAUGCCUGUUUGAGUGUCAUGAAAUCUCAAUCCUCCUAGGUUUUUGACCUGGUUGGACUUGGACAUGGGCGUCUGCCAGCAAUGGCUCGCCUUAAAUGACUUAGUGGAACAUCCCACAUCAGUGUUAGACGUAAUAAGUUUCGUCUCUCCUUGUGGUGAUGACUGCUCAUAAUCUGCCAUCGCGCACUUUUGACUUUGACCUCAAAUCAGGUAGGGCUACCCGCUGAACUUAAGCAUAUCAAUAAGCGGAGGA